rnacentral:rRNA from 1 species
CGGUUAAUCCUGCCGGACCCCACCGCUAUCGGGAUGGGACUAAGACAUGCUAGUCGUGCGUCUCCAAGCCAUGGUGGAGCCGCGGCGCACAGCUCAGUAACACGUGGCUAACCUGCCCUUGGGACACGGACAACCCCGGGACACUGGGGCUAAUCCGUGAUAGGUGAGAACUCCUGGAAUGGGUUCUCGCCGAAAGGGCGCCUAGACCACGCUUCUAGGCGCCGCCCAAGGAAGGGGCCGCGGCCGAUCAGGUUGUUGGUGAGGUAACGGCUCACCAAACCUUUAACCGGUACGGGCCGUAAGAGCGGGAGCCCGGAGAUGGGCACUGAGAUAAGGGCCCAGGCCCUACGGGGCGCAGCAGUCGCGAAAACUCCGCAAUACACGAAAGUGUGACGGGGCCAUCCCGAGUGCCGUCCGCUGAGGAUGGCUUUUCCCCAGUGUAUAAAGCUGGGGGAAUAAGGAGAGGGCAAGACUGGUGUCAGCCGCCGCGGUAAUACCAGCUCUCCGAGUGGUGGGGACGCUUAUUGGGCCUAAAGCAUUCGUAGCCUGUUGGGCAAGUCCCCCGCUAAAUCCAACGAUUCAAUCGUUGGGCUGCGGGGGAUACUGUCCAACUAGGGGGCGGGAGAGGCCGACGGUAUUCUCGGGGUAGGGGUGAAAUCCUAUAAUCCCGGGAGGACCACCAGUGGCGAAGGCUGUCGGCUAGAACGCGCCCGACGGUGAGGGAUGAAAGCUGGGGGAGCGAACCGGAUUAGGUACCCGGGUAGUCCCAGCUGUAAACGAUGCAGGCUAGGUGUUGAAGCGGCUACGUGCCGCUUCAGUACCGCAGGGAAGCCGUUAAGCCUGCCGCCUGGGAAGUACGGCCGCAAGGCUGAAACUUAAAGGAAUUGGCGGGGGAGCAC